GUGCCAGCAGCCGCGGUAAGACAGAGGGUGCAAACGUUGUUCGGAAUUACUGGGCGUAAAGCGCGUGUAGGCGGCAGGGCAAGUCGGAUGUGAAAUCCCAUGGCUCAACCAUGGAAGUGCACCCGAAACUGCCCAGCUAGAGUCUCGGAGAGGAAGGUGGAAUGCUUGGUGUAGAGGUGAAAUUCGUAGAUAUCAAGCGGAACACCGGUGGCGAAGGCGGCCUUCUGGACGAUGACUGACGCUGAGACGCGAAAGCGUGGGGAGCAAACAGGAUUAGAAACCCUCGUAGUCC
rnacentral:rRNA from 1 species